AUAUGCGGUAGACUGACUGCUUUUAACUUCUUUAAGGUCAACACCCGAUUGAUAUAGAAUUGCAUUUGUUACCUUCUGUAAAAAAUUUAGUGAUAUAUCACAGGCUGUGGCAAUAAGAGAAACAUUACCAGCAAAAAUAUCUUUUGGAAUUUUUGCAAUUACUGUGACUGGGUUUUUAGAAACUUCUAUAUGAUACCAAUCGCCUGGUUCAAAAUCAGAUUAAAUUGAAGAAUCCUCGCUUAGAUCUGUGUCUAUAUAUUUAACCUUGGGUACAUCAUCUCCCAAACUUAUAGGAAACAAUUUUUCUUCCUUAUAUUUUCUAUUUCCUAAUUUAUAGAAAUGUUUUAAUAUUAGUUUUUGAUUUUAGAAUUAGUGGAAAAAGAGAAUAAAGUAAUAGAGAUUAAACCAAAGCUUAAGCAGUGAAAUAAAAGCAUUGAAUACCUUAGAGACAAGAUUGGAGAUUUAAAAUUUCUUGAAGAUCAGGAAGGUCAAGGAAAGUUUGUUAUUGGUUCAGAAGGUAUAAGAGACCAUGCCAAGUAUUCCGAAAGUGAGCUAGAAAAUUGCGUUGGAGAUAUCCUAAAAAGAUCGCCGGAUAGAAAAGGCGUUGAUGGCCAUAAAAAUCUAAACCACGAUAACAGUUUUUAUGAUGUUUUUUGUAUAUGUAAUUUGAAAUAUGAUUUAACUUUGUGUAUACUUUUAA